AGUCGAACGGCAGCGCGGGGCAACCUGGCGGCGAGUGGCGAACGGGUGAGUAAUAUAUCGGAACGUACCCAAGAGUGGGGGAUAACGUAGCGAAAGUUACGCUAAUACCGCAUACGAUCCAAGGAUGAAAGUGGGGGAUUCGCAAGAACCUCAUGCUCCUGGAGCGGCCGAUAUCUGAUUAGCUAGUUGGUGAGGUAAAGGCUCACCAAGGCGACGAUCAGUAGCUGGUCUGAGAGGACGACCAGCCACACUGGAACUGAGACACGGUCCAGACUCCUACGGGAGGCAGCAGUGGGGAAUUUUGGACAAUGGGCGCAAGCCUGAUCCAGCAAUGCCGCGUGAGUGAAGAAGGCCUUCGGGUUGUAAAGCUCUUUUGUCAGGGAAGAAACGGUGGGAGCUAAUAUCUCNUACUAAUGACGGUACCUGAAGAAUAAGCACCGGCUAACUACGUGCCAGCAGCCGCGGUAAUACGUAGGGUGCAAGCGUUAAUCGGAAUUACUGGGCGUAAAGCGUGCGCAGGCGGUUUUGUAAGUCUGUCGUGAAAGCCCCGGGCUCAACCUGGGAAUUGCGAUGGAGACUGCAAGGCUUGAAUCUGGCAGAGGGGGGGUAGAAUUCCACGUGUAGCAGUGAAAUGCGUAGAGAUGUGGAGGAACACCGAUGGCGAAGGCAGCCCCCNUGGGUCAAGAUUGACGCUCAUGCACGAAAGCGUGGGGAGCAAACAGGAUUAGAUACCCUGGUAGUCCACGCCCUAAACGAUGUCUACUAGUUGUCGGGUUUUAAUUAACUUGGUAACGCAGCUAACGCGUGAAGUAGACCGCCUGGGGGAGUACGGGUCGCAAGAUUAAAACUCAAAGGAAUUGACNGGGGACCCGCACAAGCGGUGGAUGAUGUGGAUUAAUUCGAUGCAACGCGAAAAACCUUACCUACCCUUGACAUGUACGGAAGCCACGAGAGAUCGAGGNGUGCUCGAAAGAGAGCCGUAACACAGGUGCUGCAUGGCUGUCGUCAGCUCGUGUCGUGAGAUGUUGGGUUAAGUCCCGCAACGAGCGCAACCCUUGUCAUUAGUUGCUACAUUCAGUUGAGCACUCUAAUGAGACUGCCGGUGACAAACCGGAGGAAGGUGGGGAUGACGUCAAGUCCUCAUGGCCCUUAUGGGUAGGGCUUCACACGUCAUACAAUGGUACAUACAGAGGGCCGCCAACCCGCGAGGGGGAGCUAAUCCCAGAAAGUGUAUCGUAGUCCGGAUCGCAGUCUGCAACUCGACUGCGUGAAGUUGGAAUCGCUAGUAAUCGCGGAUCAGCAUGUCGCGGUGAAUACGUUCCCGGGUCUUGUACACACCGCCCGUCACACCAUGGGNGCGGGUUUUACCAGAAGUAGGUAGCUAACCGCAAGGAGGGCGCUACCACGGUAGG
rnacentral:rRNA from 1 species